GACGAACGCUGGCGGCGUGCUUAACACAUGCAAGUCGAACGGAAAGGCCCUGCUUUUGUUGGGGGCUCGAGUGGCGAACGGGUGAGUAACACGUGAGUAGCCUGCCCUUGACUUUGGUAUAACUUCAGGAAACUGGGGCUAAUACCGUAUAGGAGCUCCUGCUGCAUGGUGGGGGUUGGAAAGUUUCGGCGGUUGGGGAUGGACUCGGGGCUUAUCAGCUUGUUGGUGGGGUAGUGGCUUACCAAGGCUUUGACGGGUAGCCGGCCUGAGAGGGUGACCGGCCACAUUGGGACUGAGAUACGGCCCAGACUCCUACGGGAGGCAGCAGUGGGGAAUAGUGCACAAUGGGCGGAAGCCUGAUGCAGCAACGCCGCGUGCGGGAUGACGGCCUUCGGGUUGUAAACCGCUUUCGCCUGUGACGAAGCGUGAGUGACGGUAAUGGGUAAAGAAGCACCGGCUAACUACGUG
rnacentral:rRNA from 1 species